AAGGCUGUUGGAAUUGUCAGUUGGCUGUGUCUUCCCUAUGUCUCAUAUUUAUCUUUAUAUGCUUUGACUCUAUAAGAAUUUGAACUCCCUGCUAUAUGUCUUCACACAUAUAGUAACGCAUAUCGCUGCACAACUCUGAUGAAACUUUAUUUAAUUUGCUUAUGCCUGUAAUAUCCCAUAAGGGAAAUACUUCUUAAGCCCUU
rnacentral:lncRNA from 1 species